GCUGUGGUAGCUCAGUGGUAGAGCACUCCCUUGGUAAGGGAGAGGUCGAGAGUUCAAUCCUCUCUCACAGCA
rfam:Rhodobacteraceae bacterium GWF1_65_7 gwf1_scaffold_2181, whole genome shotgun sequence.